CAUAGGGUAGUGGCUAAGAACCUAAACUCUAAAUUUAGAUGUCCUGAGUUCAAAUCCCAGCUGUAUGC
rnacentral:tRNA from 1 species